GGAAAAGGGAGGGAAAGGGGAAGGAGAAGAUGGAGUUGUUCCUGAAUAAACCCUCAGUUAACCCUAUAUAAGAUUACUUUGUGUUUGUGAGGAAAGCAGCUAGGGAAACAGAAGGUGUUUAAUCCAGAGAAAGUUAAGUCAACUGAAAUCAAAGGGCAUGAAGAAUUCAACUGAGUGCUUCAUUCCCAAGGACUUCAAUUUGACAGGUAUAUGGAGAAUGAUCACUGGACGUCUCUACUGUAACUUGCUGCUGACCACUAGCUUCCUGUAAGAGAAAAAAACACAGGCCUACCACCUCUUUGACCUUGGAAAGCAGUGCCAGUUAUCCACAGAUCCUCACCUUAUUACUCUGUGAUGCCAGCUGCUGGGAGAGGUCAUCAAGAGGUUUGGAGAGAUGUGCCACCAGUAUGCAGAUGAAGCCCAGCUCUAUCUCUCUAUUCCACCUCAAUCAGGAGAGCCGGUUGAAGUGCUUGACCAUUGCCUGGAGGAAGUAAUGGGCUGGAUGCGGACCAACAAAUUGAAACUGAAUCCAGAUAAAUCGGAGAUGCUGAGUGUCAGGGGCUCUCGAAUCCAUGAAGUUGGAGACAUAUCCUAUUCUUGAAGUGGUGGUAGUACCCCGGAAGGAACAGGGUCACAGCUAACAGACAGCCAUUCAGAAACAUGUGACUGGGGGACUGCUGACAGUAUGGAAGAUCCUCUAGCAAAAGGGAUUAAACUGUAGCCUGCCUUCCCAGAGGAAUGGUACUCAUGUGUACCACUGAAGACGCACUGAAGUUUGCAUUUGUAGAUGUAGCUUUUCAUCAGUUCUUGCUUUAACCCAUUCAAAACAAUUAAGGCUGCACCCUUCUACACACUUACUAGGGAGAAAGCUCACCUGCAUUCAGUGGGAGUACAUCCAGUUACUUAAUACUUCUGAGUAAACUUGCACAGGAUUGCAUUGUACAUGAAUUGAACUAGGCACACUAGGGCAAUGCAUUGCAGAAAGUCAAUAAUCUGAAUUGAUGCAAUGCAGGACCUACUGGACAAUUUAUCAUACAAUACAACCAACAAUCUGGCUGAUAAACUCAUCAUCAUCAUCUUUAUUAUUACGGUCGUUCGACCAGCAAAGUCUGGUAAACUGUCAAUUUGAUCCAAUAAAAGUGUGUCUGAUACACUCUUGCAUCAUAUUGGACACUAACGGUGCUUGGAGGCUGACUUGAUAGCUGAGCAGCAGGCUUCUCAUAUUCCUCAUGACAGGAAAUCUCCUUCUCUGCCGGCAGCAGCAUUUCACAACACCAGUUUCCUUUCUGGCAACUGGCCCACAAUGCUCCAGGGAAGGAAGCCAUGCCACAACAUUACUACACACAGUACACUACCAUAGUUACAGGAUGCAGCCAUAUUUGUUCAAUGCACCAGGGAAAGGACACAAUGUUGUGAUGUUGCUUCCUUACCGAGGGCACUGUGCGCUGGUUGUCAAGAAGGAAAGUGGCAUUUGCCACUGGAAAGUAAGAUUUCAUGUAACAAUGAAGAAAAGGAAUCCAGCUAUCAGGUAAGCUCAGCCCACCAAUGAAUGAAGCCAAUCCAGUGCAUCCACACCCACCCAAAUGCACAUAAAAGCAAACAGAAGAGUGUAAACAAUCACCACUCAGUAAUCAAAACAGGAAGCAAACUACAAGGCAGUAGAACAAACACACCUGCCACCAACACACAACCAAAACAAUUUUCUUUCAGCAUCAGAUAGACCAAACACUUCCUGAAAGAGUAGUCUUUAGUCAGUGACCAAACACUGUAAAAAUUAACACCUGGGACAGCGAGUUCCACAUUCCACAGCAGAAGAAGCCAUUAUAUGUCCCCACUAACUAAUCUUCAGAAGGUGGCGGGACAAGCAGAAGGGCCUUCCAAAUGAACUUAGCAAAUGGGCAGAAGUGUAUUAGGGUAGGGGAAGCUACUGUUUAGAUAUCCUGCUUCUAAUGGCCAUUUAGGGCUUCAAAAGAUGAUAACCAUCACUUUGAACCACUCCUGGAAAUGGAACUAUAGCCUGCUAUAACCCACCAUGGCUACAUCUCCUGGUUCUUUGGGAUUUGCGUGUGUAGCUUAAGCCCAUGUUCUCUCAUUUAAAAGAGACCAGUUUUAAUUGGAUGUGGAGAUAGACGUGGCAACUCCCUUCUAAAGAUUAUGUUGACAAGUAAAGACAACCUUUGAAGGCUUUCCCUGUCCACCAGUAAUUUAUGGAAUAGAAUUUUAACUAAUGUGGUUGAUAUAAGGUAGUUGUGGGUUUUUGUUUGUUUUUACUGAGAGUGGCCGACACCCAGACUAAGCUGCUCAGUAACACUACUCUAAAGGAUGACUUAAUUUCAGCAGGAGUACUCAGGAGUAAUUUAGUAUGGAUGUCAAUUAGUAGUUUUCAGUUAACAAUAUCUGUUACAAUGAAUAGUUGUGUUUCUCUGCUUUUAAAAAGCUCUGAGUACUUUUUUUUGUGUCAGUGUAAGAAAAGCAAUGAAUAAAUGAAUAAAUAAAUAAAUGGGGGGAGGGGACCCACAGCUAUGACCUCUAGAUAGUUCAAAAGGAUUACUAGGGAUUAGUUCAGAUUUCCUUAACAGGCUAUGUUAGGAGAUGCUCUCAACAUGCAUCUGUGCUGGGAGCACAGGAGCGUUAUUCUUACUUGUGACAACCAAGCAUAUAAACUUUCUCAUCCCUUCUUUAUGAAACUGGAAAGUGGGAGAAGGAGAUUAGUGCCUGGAGUAACUUAGCUUGGCCCUCAUUCAUUUCUCGGACUUUUUAUCCUGCUCCUUCCUGGAAGUUUAUGGCAAAAUGCAGCAUUUAUAAAUAAAAACAUAGCCAGAGAAAUAACUGUUGAAUAUAUACAAUAUAAAAGUCAAGGGUUUCCCCUCCACAAUUUUAAGAAAAUUUAAAUUCCAUCUCUCCCUAACAGACAUUAGUCUUAUUCACGUUUGAUGCAUGUUCAAUUUAUGUACUGAGUAUGCACAUACAGAUCUGAACACAUGUAUAGUUAUUCACAUGUUAUGUUCAAUGCCCAUACAGCAGUAGACUUUCUGUUUGUACUCUGUAUUUGAGAAGAUCUGUACCCAGGUUCACUUUUAAAAUGAACACAUGUAAAGUCACUCACACAAAACUAUGUACAUGUGUACAGACACCCAAAUGCACAUUCAAUAUGAUGUCUGAAGAAGGCUGUUGUGCAAAACAGUUUACAUCUGGAGUCUAGAGGAGCAUUUUCACAUAUGACUUGCAGGGUUAGCAACUUUGAAUAUCUCAAGCAGUGCAACCCAUGAGCUAUACUUCUCCAAUAUUCCUAUGACUCCAACUAAUCAAGAUUUUGUCCAAUGGUUACCAUGGCAGCAUAAUUUAUUUUCUUCCUCCUUUAGAAAUGUACUGACCUCGAGAGCUUCCAAGGAAGCUCUCGAAGCUUACUUGUUUGUUUUUAAAAUUACAACACAAGAAGGGGACUCAUGGCCACUUCGUGGGAGGGAGGGUAGGAACUGCCGCCUGAGAGGAAGUGCACUGACUGAGAGGAAGUGCGAUGUUAGUACAGUUCACAAGGUCUUUUACACCAAGACCUUGUGAACUGUAAAGGGGAUGUCACCCUUACAAGUUAAAGGAUCCUUUGGCGAGCACAAAACUAGAUUUGGGGACAAAUUAGAUAUGCCUCAGAGUGUCGUCUUCAACUCAAUUUCUUCACCUUUAGGCCUCAGACUCAACAGAAACCAGGCCUGAGGGUAGGAUGCAUCAACAAUCCUCAGCCCUCAAGGAUUGGGAAAGGAAUAUUUUUCUGUAGAACUAUUGGUCCUUUCUUCUAUCCUGGCCUUCUUUCCAUUUGGUUUGAAGGUCACCUGUACACAGAAACCCUAGUUUGCCAAUAUCUCCUAAAUUGUUACAAGUUAGUCCUGCUUUAUUGCUUUAAUUUUAUUUUAAUAUUGUAUGCUAGUUUUUGUAAUUAGUGUGAACCAAGUGCCCACUGAUUUGAAAAGGGGGAUAAAAAUUAAAAUGUAACAGUCAGCAUCCUUCAUGAUUCUAUUUAAUAGAUACUGUUAAAAAAGCUAAGUGAAAAUCAAGUCUUAUACAAGAGACAUGACCUCCUAGAUGUGCAUAGGUGCUCAAAAACAAAAUGCCAAGAAAAAUAAAGUUAAUCCUGUCUUGCAAUAUUCUCCAUAGGAACGGCAAGAGAGUCAACCAUCAGAAAGCAGGGAGAGCUUAACAGACCUAGAUUAAUUUGGAAUAGCAGAAACAACGCUAUGUAUUUGCUCUUUUAUUCUAUGCUAUUUGUACACCAUACAAACAUUCAUCUCUGGGUGGUUUACAACAACAUAACUUGGCAAAGAGGCACCUUUUAACAUGUUGAUUCUCUUUAUUUAGAGUAAUUUAUUUAGAGGGAGAGUAACUGGCCCUCUCCACCCCCAGCACAGUACCUUCAGUGACUGUUGCUGGUGUCUGUCUUAUGUUUCUUUUUAGAUUGUGAACCCUUUGGGGACAGGGAUCCACCUUAUUUAUUUGUUAUUUCUCUGUGUAAACUGCCCUGAGCCAUUUUUGGAAGGGCGGUAUAGAAAUCGAAUAAAUAAAUAUGGAGCUAGCGUGGUGUAGUGGUUAGAGUGCUGGACUAGGACCAGGGAGACCUG